GACAGAGGUGCCAAGCGUUAGGCGGAAUCACUGGGCUUAAAGCGUGUGUAGGCGGGUCGUUAAGUACCUUGUGAAAUCCUGCGGCUCAACCGCAGAACUGCUUGGUAUACUGGGUCGCUUGAGCCAUCCAGGGGCAACUGGAACAAGCGGUGGAGCGGUGAAAUGCGUAGAUAUCAGGAGGAACACCUGUGGUGUAGACGGCUUUCUGGACCAUAGCUGACGCUGAGACACGAAAGCGUGGGUAGCAAACAGG
rnacentral:rRNA from 1 species